rnacentral:hammerhead_ribozyme from 1 species
AUCCAGCUGACGAGUUUCGAAUGAGACGAAACGCGCGUCCUGAAU